UUUCCGUAGGUGAACCUGCGGAAGGAUCAUUAUUGUGUAACCGAGUUGCGAGGCCUGUCGCUGACACGAUAGGUCGUGCACGCCCGAGUGCCCUCACACACCACAAUCUGACGCCUAUGUGCACCACCGCGUGGGUCCCCCUUUGGAUUGUUCGGUGGGGGGCUUACGUUUUCACACAAACUUUGUAUGCAGUGUAGAAUGUAUUUUUUGUUUUUGCGAUCACGCAAUCAAUACAACUUUCAACAACGGAUCUCUUGGCUCUC
rnacentral:misc_RNA from 1 species